rnacentral:rRNA from 1 species
UACAGAGGGUGCGAGCGUUAUUCGGAAUUACUGGGCGUAAAGCGCACGUAGGCGGCUUUGCAAGUCGGUUGUGAAAUCCCCGGGCUCAACCUGGGAACUGCAUCCGAGACUGCAUUGCUAGAGUAUGGGAGAGGAAAGCGGAAUUUCUGGUGUAGCAGUGAAAUGCGUAGAUAUCAGAAGGAACAUCAGUGGCGAAGGCGGCUUUCUGGACCAAUACUGACGAUCAGGUGCGAAAGCGUGGGGAGCAAACAGG